UGGCUCAGGACGAACGCUGGCGGCAUGCCUAACACAUGCAAGUCGAACGGAGUAAUGACUUCGGUUAUUACUUAGUGGCGAACGGGUGAGUAACACGUGAAUAAUCUGCCCUGUACGAUGGGAUAACAGCUGGAAACGGCUGCUAAUACCGUAUAUGACCACGCCGAGGCAUCUCGGAGGGGUGAAAGCGCUUAAGCGGUACAGGAUGAGUUCGCGUCCAAUUAGCUAGUUGGUGAGGUAACGGCCCACCAAGGCGACGAUUGGUAGCCGACCUGAGAGGGUGAUCGGCCACACUGGAACUGAGACACGGUCCAGACUCCUACGGGAGGCAGCAGUGGGGAAUAUUGGGCAAUGGAGGAAACUUCCUUACCCAGCAAUGCCGCGUGAGUGAUGAAGGUCUUCGGAUUGUAAAGCUCUUUGAUUGGGGACGAAUAAAUGACGGUACCCAAGGAACAAGCCCCGGCUAACUAUGUGCCAGCCGCCGC
rnacentral:rRNA from 1 species